rnacentral:rRNA from 1 species
GACGAACGCUGGCGGCGUGCUUAACACAUGCAAGUCGAACGGAAAGGCCCUGCUUUUGUGGGGUGCUCGAGUGGCGAACGGGUGAGUAACACGUGAGUAACCUGCCCUUGACUUUGGGAUAACUUCAGGAAACUGGGGCUAAUACCGGAUAGGAGCUCCUGCUGCAUGGUGGGGGUUGGAAAGUUUCGGCGGUUGGGGAUGGACUCGCGGCUUAUCAGCUUGUUGGUGGGGUAGUGGCUUACCAAGGCUUUGACGGGUAGCCGGCCUGAGAGGGUGACCGGCCACAUGGGGACUGAGAGACGGCCCAGACUGCUACGGGAGGCAGCAGUGGGGAAUAUUGCACAAUGGGCGGAAGCCUGAUGCAGCAACGCCGCGUGCGGGAUGACGGCUUUCGGGUUGUAAACCGCUUUCGCCUGUGACGAAGCGGGAGUGACGGUAAUGGGUAAAGAAGCACCGGCUAACUACGUG